GUUUUACCAUGUUGGCCAGGCUGGUCUCGAACUUCUGACCUCAGGUGAUCCGCCUGCCUCGGCCUCCCAGAGUGCUGGGAUUACAGGCAUGAGCCAGUGUGCCUGGCCUGAUGGGGAAUUUUCUCACAUUAUUUCUUUGAUAAUUUCUUCCAUGAUAUCGUCUUUUCUCUCUUUCUGGGAAUCCUGUUAGUCACAUGCUGCAUCUCCUAGACAUUUUUUUUCUCCAAAUUUUCAUCCCUUUUCCUUUUAUUCUGAGGAUCUUAGUAUUGCCUUCUCUAUAAGGUUUUAAGUUGCCUUAUAAAUGCAGUUUUUCCCCCUAUUGUUAUCAGAAGGAUGGCUAUGGUCCCCCACGAGUGGAGAUGGGAAUUGGAAAGUUUGACUUGGAAGCAUUCUGAAUUUUCCCCUCACUUGUAGCUAGUCAUCACCCACAUGGUUCUAGUUUUCCAUGUGAUUUGACACAACUGAAGUUCAGUGGCUCCUUGGAUUGCUGAAAUGAAAUGGAGGCCUUCUUUGCAACCUGAGCUCUUCUAGCUUUCUGUUUCUCUGUGUCUUAGAACAGAAGUUCAUGUUUUGGGUCAGUAAUGUAAGUAAGAAAUUGAAGAAGUAGAUGAUUACAAAUGAAUAACCUGUUGUUAGUAGUGUACAUAGGGUGGUUUUAGAUCUAUGUAGAUCAUGAUGAUUUGGUUGUGUGGCUUCGGCAGCCAACCACCUAAAUUACUUGAAUGAAGCUUCUUUCCUGAAAGGAGCUUGGAUUCAUCUGAAUUUCAGAGUACUUUCAUUUGAAUAUCCUGUCAGCAUAAUUCAAAUUUUAAAAUGCUUGCUUGGGUAUUGUAUUUUUUAAAUAGAAUUUUAGCAUUUAACAACAUAAACCAAAAUAAUCUUCUCCUUCCACCUCUCCACUGAACCUGUAGAGAGUCAAGGCCUUGUCUGAGUCCUGUGUUCUUGCCCUCCCUGUGGCUGCUGGUUCUAACCCAACUCCAGCCCCUUAGCAAGUGCUCUCCUCCUUUGAGCCUGUGCUGCUAUUACACACCAGGCUCGCCCAUUUCCUAGGGUGUCUCUUGCUGCCUUCCAUCCCCCUCCACUUCACCCUAACCCUCUUCCUCUUUCUCGCACUCUCUCAUUUGGUGUUUCUCAGUGGGGUUUGUGGAUGUCCCGCAUCAGAACCACCUGGGGUCUGGCCAGGCCGACUGGAUCUGAAAGGGGUGGGAGCUGCAGAGGGGUCUGUUUGUUUUUCAAGCCCUCCUGGAGAUUCUCUCACCAGAGUUCAAGAGGCACUGCUCUAAUUUUUUUUUUCUUCUUUUAGAGGCUGGGUCUCACUAUGUUGCUUAGGCUGGUCUUGAACUCCUGGCCUCAAGCUAUUGUCCGGCCUCAGUCUCUGAGUGGUUGGGAUUACAGGCAGAACAACUGUGCCCGGCUCACACUGCUCUAAUUCCUGAUACCCACCCAGCUAAGUUCCUGAUUCUGCUUUACACCCUUUGCCCUUUCUCUUAGGGAGUUCAUACUCUCCAGCAGGCUUUGUUCUUCUGCUACCCAGAGGCCCCCCUCCAGCUCCCACCUCUUAUCUAGCAUCCAGCCUUCUAUUUGCAGUUAUUCCCAGGGAAUCUCCUGCAUGCUGGGUGUGACCACCCACACUUGUCAUCUCUUGGAACAACAUCCCCAGGAGACAGGUCUCUUGAGGAGGGACAUGGAUUUCCCAACGUAUAUCUGACUACUACACAUCUCUGUUCAGAAGAAUACAGACAUCUAUCUGCAAAAGAUCGUGGCCUUAAAAUUGGUUUAAAGCAUGUAUUACUUCCUGCCAGUUCCUGUAUGUGCUCGUGAUUGGGGGAUAAGAUUAACUGCAUCCUGCCUCCUAUAUCUAUAAUGUUAGGCAUUUGACAUUUAUGGAGAUAACAUUGGCAGCUUCAUCUGUUCAUAAGGCAUCCUUAAAGGUCCAUCAUAUUAUAAUUUGCAAUAUCCAUGGCACCCAAAACUCUGAAAUUUCAUCUUGUGUGUGGCAGCAAGCCCUUGUGCAGUGAAUAAACUACCCAGCCACCUUAGUGGUCACACCUCAGCACAACUGUUGUUCUUCACACAUCCUGAUAGAUGCAGCCAGUACUCUGCUGGAGUGAUCAACAUUUGGUUCCUUUGUGAAAAGUGACCUCUAAACAAAGUCACUUGACUUUCUUCGAUGGAAAUGACAAAUGAAGGCUGAAGAUAUGAAAGUUCUUAGUGAGAAAAUAUUUUUACACACUUUUAAAUUCUGUAUUUUAAAUUUCAUUAACUUAUUAACAGGCCUAAGGCUGGGCACAGUGGCUCACACCUGUAAUCCCAGUGCUUUGGGAGGCCAAAGUGGGAGGAUCGCUUGAGCCCAGGAGGUUGAGACCAGCUUGGGCAACAUAGUGAGACCCCCUCUCUACAAAAAAUAAGAUGUAGCUAGGCAUGAUGGCGAGUGCCUGUAGUUUCAGCUACUUGAGAGGCUGAGGUGGGAGGAUUGCUUGAGCCUAGAGUUCAAGGUUGCAGUGAGCUAUGAUUGCACGACUGCUGCACUCCAGCCUGGGUAACAGAGUGAGACUCUGUCUCUUAAAAAAAAAAAAAAAACAAAGAACAAAAACCUACAGGGUCACUUACACCUAGACUUUUCAAAUAUACUUUCCUAUAAGGAAGAGGAUGUUAUGUGAUAGUGAUAUUUGAAAAUUUGAAAAUUUUUAUGUUACAUGAACUGCUUGG
rnacentral:lncRNA from 1 species